rnacentral:lncRNA from 1 species
UUCAUUAAAUAUGACAUACAGUGUUGAAACUAUUUAAAAAUCAAAUUUUAUUAUUUUUUUAUUUCGUUUAUCUACUAAACGAGUACCCUCAAAAUUAAUAGUUGAAAAUAAAAAUUUAAUAAAAGGCAGUAAUAAAAGACUUAAAUUUUAAAUCGAAAAUAUUUAUCUAAUUUGAAGGUAAUCAGAGUUUUCUGUUAAAAUGUUGUCUAAUUUAAAUUGUUCUAUACCGUUGAAAUAA